CUUUUUUUUAUAUAGUGUCAAAGUUGGGAAUUUGGAGGGAACUAAACAUGACCCGAUUCAUCUUCUGGUGAAAAAAAAAAGAUAAAACAGGAGAACCACAUCACCCAACCCAAGUAGCCAAAUAGAACUAGAAGGGCCUGAACCAAAUUGCGGUAUCUGGUAUUCCGGGUCUUCUCUUGUCUUUUGGAGGAGGAUCGGUUUGCCUGACUCGUAUCGACGCUCCCAUCUGAACGUCGCGUCCAUCGGCG
rnacentral:lncRNA from 1 species